UUAGAGCCGUUUGAAGGGAGUUGUGAAAUCUUUAUCGAUUUCAAGGCUUCUUAGGACUUUUCUUUAUUUUUCUUGUUGUUUAUUUCUCUUUAAAUUUUUUUGCUUGAGUCGAUCUAUUGAUUAACUUAUUUUGAUCUCUUUAUUGUGUUUCCAACCAUUAUACUCUUCAAGAAUCUGAUCGGCACCCUUCUUGGCAGCAAGAAACG
rnacentral:lncRNA from 1 species